GAUGAACGCUGGCGGCGUGCCUAAUACAUGCAAGUAGAACGCUGAAGGAAGGAGCUUGCUCUUUCCGGAUGAGUUGCGAACGGGUGAGUAACGCGUAGGUAACCUGCCUGGUAGCGGGGGAUAACUAUUGGAAACGAUAGCUAAUACCGCAUAACAGUAGAUGUUGCAUGAUAUCUACUUAAAAGGUGCAAUUGCUCCACUACCAGAUGGACCUGCGUUGUAUUAGCUAGUUGGUGAGGUAACGGCUCACCAAGGCGACGAUACAUAGCCGACCUGAGAGGGUGAUCGGCCACACUGGGACUGAGACACGGCCCAGACUCCUACGGGAGGCAGCAGUAGGGAAUCUUCGGCAAUAGACGGAAGUCUGACCGAGCAACGCCGCGUGAGUGAAGAAGGUUUUCGGAUCGUAAAGCUCUGUUGUAAGAGAAGAACGAGUGUGAGAGUGGAAAGUUCACACUGUGACGGUAUCUUACCAGAAAGGGACGGCUAACUACGUG
rnacentral:rRNA from 1 species